rnacentral:rRNA from 1 species
GUCCUAGCCGUAAACGGUGCGUAUUUGCUGUAAAAGGAAUCGACCCCUUUUGUGGCGUAGCCAACGCGUUAAAUACGCCGCCUGGGAAGUACGGUCGCAAGAUUAAAACUCAAAGAAAUUGACGGGGGCCUGCACAAGCGGUGGAGUAUGUGGCUUAAUUCGAUGCAACGCGAAGAACCUUACCUGGCCUUGACAUGUAGGUAGUAGAACCGUGAAAGCGGGACGACCCCGCAAGGGGAGCCUACACAGGUGCUGCAUGGCUGUCGU